UUUAAUUGGGCGGUGCAAGCUCAGCUCACAGGCUCGAUCAAAAACUGAAGCAGCUAGAGUGAAGGCUGCUCAAGAGGCAUACAAAGAACUUCAAAAUGCUAGGCAAGAAGCCUUGCAGAAAAAGAAGGCAG